GACGAACGCUGGCGGCGUGCUUAACACAUGCAAGUCGAACGAUGAAGCACAGACAGGCGUACUCCGGCGCAAAAUGCACGUCUGACUAGUGGCAGACCGGCGAGUAACGCGUGAGCAACCGACCUCUAACGAAGCGAUAGCCGCGGGAAACCGUGACUAACACCAGAGGACACAUUCAUAAGUCAGCUGAAGAAGGAUUAAGCUACGGCGGUAAGGGAUGGGCGCGCGUCACAUUAGCAAGAGGGUGAGGUAACGGCCCACCAAGGCGAGGGUGGGUACCCGGCAUGGGAGCGUGCACCGUCACAUUUGAACCGCGACCCGGUCCACACUGCUAGGGGAGGGAGCAGUAGGGAAUAUAGCGCGAUGGAGGGAACUCUGAUGCCGCGACGCCGCGUGAGAGAUGAAGGGAUUCGUUUCCUAAAGCUCUGUUCUAUGAGGAGAAAAUGACUGUACCAUAGGAGGAAGCCCCGGCUAACUACGUG
rnacentral:rRNA from 1 species